UACGUAGGUGGCAAGCGUUGUCCGGAUUUACUGGGCGUAAAGGGCGUGCAGGCGGUUUGCUAAGUCUAGGGUGAAAGCUCCCGGCUUAACUGGGAGAGGUCCUUGGAUACUGGCAGACUUGAGGAGGGUAGAGGAGAGUGGAAUUCCCGGUGUAGUGGUGAUAUGCGUAGAUAUCGGGAGGAACACCGGUGGCGAAGGCGGCUUCCUGGACCGACACUGACGCUGAGGCGCGAAAGCUAGGGGAGCAAACGGG
rnacentral:rRNA from 1 species